GGGGGGGGGACUACGUAUCUCUCAUUCUUGAUCUUUUUCUAGGACCUACCCCACUCCCCUUAUCCUCGUUCACGAUCGGCUGUAUUUGCCCUCUCAAUCUCGAAGCAUUUGUGCACGAGCUCCGGGAGUAUCCUAGUCCCCGCAAGGAGUAUGUGCUGGCGGGCAUUCGCGACGGUUUCCGUCUGGGUUUCGUUCCAGAGCGUGUGGUCCUUCGUCCGUCGCUCCGCAAUCUCAAGUCGGCGUCUCAAGACCCGGACGUGAUCGACAAAUAUCUCUCGGCGGAAGUCGCCCACCGCCGGGUGGCUGGUCCUUACCUGUACCCCCCACUACCCUCUC